rnacentral:rRNA from 1 species
GUAGGUGGCAAGCGUUGUCCGGAAUUAUUGGGCGUAAAGCGCGCGCAGGCGGUUCUUUAAGUCUGAUGUGAAAGCCCACGGCUCAACCGUGGAGGGUCAUUGGAAACUGGAGAACUUGAGUACAGAAGAGGAAAGCGGAAAUUCCAUGUGUAGCGGUGAAAUGCGUAGAGAUGUGGAGGAACACCAGUGGCGAAGGCGGCUUUCUGGUCUGUAACUGACGCUGAGGCGCGAAAGCGUGGGGGGCAAACAGGGAUUAGAUACCCUGGUAGUCCACGCCGUAAACGAUGAGUGCUAAGUGUUAGGGGGGUUUCCGCCCCCUUAGUGCUGCAGCUAACGCAUUAAGCACUCCGCCUGGGGAGUACGCCGCAAGGCUG